rnacentral:rRNA from 1 species
AUGCACGCUGGCGGCGUGCCUAAUACAUGCAGGUCGAGCGAACAGACGAGGAGCUUGCUCCCCUGACGUUAGCGGCGGACGGGUGAGUAACACGUGGAUAACCUACCUAUAAGACUGGGAUAGCUUCGGGAAACCGGAGCUAAUACCGGAUAAUAUAUUGAACCGCAUGGUUCAAUAGUGAAAGACGGUUUUGCUGUCACUUAUAGAUGGAUCCGCGCCGCAUUAGCUAGUUGGUAAGGUAACGGCUUACCAAGGCAACGAUGCGUAGCCGACCUGAGAGGGUGAUCGGCCACACUGGAACUGAGACACGGUCCAGACUCCUACGGGAGGCAGCAGUAGGGAAUCUUCCGCAAUGGGCGAAAGCUUGACGGAGCAACGCCGCGUGAGUGAUGAAGGUCUUCGGAUCGUAAAACUCUGUUAUUAGGGAAGAACAAAUGUGUAAGUAACUAUGCACGUCUUGACGGUACCUAAUCAGAAAGCCACGGCUAACUACGUG